UUUCACCCAAAUCCCACCUCUCACAUUCAUCAACCAUCUCUAUCGCAGCCAAGAAACGACAUCACAUCCUUCAUCAUUCAAGGUUUCUAUUCUAAUUGAUAUGUUAUGAUAUCCUUCAAUUUGUAUAUAUCAACUCCAGAACACCAACAGAGAAUCACCAAUACACAUGCACAUGAUUAUUUGAUAUUUCACUAUGUGCUUACAAGAUAUGACAUAUGAACUGAAAUAUUAAAACUGAGUGUUUAAUUUGCAAGGAAAGAAAUUCAGAUUUCAUUAAGAAAUUACAGUUUGAGAAUGAUAUGUGCUAACAAAAACCCUAUGCUAUUUUGUGAACUGAAUAUGAGGCUUGAACCCCUGUUUUGUGUGUGAGUCGAGAGAGGGAGAGGGCAGCCUUGGUGACUCGUCGUCGCCGGCGGUCGACGGACGGCGACGGAGCCGCGGUGGCUUCCGAUCUGCCAAAGAGGGGAAAGGAGACAAGUAUUUCAGUUUUUAAUUUAGAAAAGGGAAAAGAUGAGGGAAGGAAAAAAAGAAGAAAAAGAGAAUAGGGAAUUAGGGCUUACCUUUAAUUCGACGGACGACGGAGGCGGCGGCCCCCUGGCCGUCUGUCCACCGGCGAAGGGGAGGACGACGCGGCAGCGCGGCUUACGCCGUGUCUGCGUGCGCGUGUGUGUGUGAGUCGGUGAGAAAGAGAGAAGGUGAGAACGAGGGAGAUGGCGAGAUGAGCGACGGCGCCGUGGUCUUCAGGCCGCGGCGGAUCUGCCGCGAGAAUGAGGGAGCAGGCGGCGGCCCGGCGAUGGCGGCGCACCGCGGUGGUGGUGUCUGCUGCGCCUGGGUCCAGCGGCCGAGAGAGCGAGAGAGAUAGAGGGGAAGAGAGGGGGAAAGAGUUCAGGGAGAGAGGGAGGGGCCAACGCGGGCCUCCGUCCGGCGGGCACCGCCGUCGGGGCGGCGGCGGCAGAGCACCGAUAUCGAGAGAGAGGGUGCGUCUGAUGCGUGUGUGUGAGUGUGUGAAGUUGUGGCUGAGUGUGUGUGUUUAAAUGUGUUUUAGUGUGUGUUUAUUUAGGGUUAGCAUGAGAAGUGGCUUGGACCUCAAUUUUGUUUUGGGCUGAGAUUUAAUUGUUGAUUGGGCUCGGCCCUUUACAAAUAAAAUGUGAUGGACCUAUUAAUUUAAUUGUUUGGGCCUUAUUCAAAGAAAAAUAUGAUGAACUUAGUUUACCUAAUUAAUUUGGGUUUAUAUCCAUUUAAAUUAUUUAAGCUCUUAAUUAUUAAUUUAAAUUGAGCUUGAUUAAUUCAAUUAUAUAUUAACCUUUAAAUUAAUUAAAUAAAUAGAGUCUUUUAUUUGAUUAUUUAUAAAUGAAUUUUUAAAAUAAAAUAUUUUGAGUUAAACUCUUAUUAAUAUGGAUUAUUUGAAAGGAUUAAAUUGUUUUAAGUAUGAGAAAGCAUGAUCUAUGAUGAUAUAAUUUGUCUAUGUGAUAUUAUAGGAUUUGUUUUUAAAUGACGGAAUAUUUGACUUGAUGGCGUGAGUAGAACGAGUUAUGAUUGAUGCGCAUGUUGAUGUUCUAAUAAAUAGUUUCGAACCUAAAUGUUAGUUAUGUGAUAAAUGUUUUGAGUUUAAGGUUCUGAACGAGACAAGAUUAAUAUGGAUGCUAGAACCCUAAAAUCUUUAAAGGAGAUAGUUUAGUUUAGAGACCUAUCUUCCUUUCUUUCACGACUUCUUCUCGAACACUACAACAAAAACUCUAAUAGAAACCGUUAAAUAGAAACCGGUUUUUGCUAAAAACCGGUUUCGUAGCUCCAAAAACCGGUUUCUUAAAUAUAACCGGUUUCUAUUUCAAAAAAAUGCGCUGAUAGAAACCGGUUUUUUACUACCGGUUUCUAUCAUGUGGUGUUAUAGAUAUAUUAUAAAAUCGGUAUUCGUUUAAAUAUUUUAAACCGGUCUGAAACCGGUUUUAAAACAUAGAGUAUUAAAAAAAAAUUGAAAAAAUGAAAGAGGUGAAAUAAUUACGUAUAGUGUAACAGUGCCCUAAUUCUCCUCCCUCGCUGCACACAACUUCCGCCACCAUUCUCCCCGCGCCACCCAGCCGAUGUUACACCUUCCGGCGGCGGCGCCUCCAUCCCGUCAUCAUUCUCUCGCUGAUUUCUCAUUAUCGACAUCUCUCCGCACUCGCUGAUUCCUCAGAUUUCGUAGGAAUUUGAAGUCCCAAUCGCUGAAGUCAGUUCCACAGAUGAAGUUUCCAUCGCUGAUUCCUCAUUAUCGCCGAAGUCUCCAUCUCUGAAGUCUCUAUCACAGAAAAGUGCGCCUCCAUUGCCAAAGUCAGUUCCAUAGGUAUUUAUUUGUACUUCUUUCUCUCAAUGUUGCCUUUGAUUUUCUUUCUUUAGUGAAUGUAUUUUUCAAUUUUUACUUGUCAAGUUUCAAUGUAUUGCCAUUCUCUAAUUUCGAUUGAAGUCUUAAUUAGAAUGUAGUAUUGUUAGGGCUGCAAUUUGUUCUUUUUCUUUCUGCACCAAAAUUGGGGAGUAGGCUUUCAUGUUUAUUUUUUCUGUUCUUUUUUGUUAUAAUGAAAAGAUCCUCUUUUUGUUCUUCUUUCUGCACCAAAACUUUCGAGUAGGCAAUUUGUGAGGAAAGUUUUGAAACAGAUAUCCUUGUUCUCUAUGAAACAGAUCACCGCUGCUCUUGCUCUGCUGUGUUUCGUCGCUGCUCUAGGCUUUGUAGCUGCUCUCUGCGUCUUUCUCUGGUCCGUCGUGCUUCGCCGCCUCUAAGGUUAGUUUUGCUACUCUUGAAGGGGCUGCCCUUUCUAUCUAAGUGAGUGAAUAUCAUGUUGCUGCUAUUUUUCUUUGCUAUUGCUGCUAUGUGUGUUGUGUGCAGUGUGUAGAUGUAUGCCAUUUUGUAAAUGUUAAAGGGUGAUUCUCGCUAACUAUGAGGACCCAUACAUAUAUUAUAUAGUUCAAAGCUAGGUAUGAGAUUUGUAAAUGUACACCAGUACAGAAAUUAUGUAAUUCUUUAACAUACAAAUUAUGCAGUGUGGACCCAAAUUUGAACCACUUUCAGCGACAAUUCAUUUACAUAAUUAUAUAUUACUGGUUAUUAUAUAUAGUUUUAGCUUGCAACCAGUGCUGACUUAUUAGGCAAAUAAAUCUUAAACUAGUGGCCUUUAUAUAUAAGUUGUUUAGUUUAUCUUAUUUUAAUCUAGCACUAUGUUCUUAAUUAGUACUAAUCAAUUUGAUGCAGUACAGAAACUAGCUAACUCCUUUGAAUGUAUGGUUCAAAUGAAAUGAAAAGCCUAGUGUUAUAGCCGACCCUUAUCAAUCUAAAACAAAAAAUAUUCCUCAUGCAGUGUGUAGAAAUUAUGUUAAAGGGUGAUAUUUAGGACUGGUGAUCUUGUACUCUCCAGAAGAGAAUUGAGAUGGUACAUUUUUUUUUGUACUCUCCAGAAGUUGGCCAAAAAUUAAAAUAAGUGGUGAUUUCUUACAAACUGAAUAAGCUAUAUGCUGUACAAACUGGUCCAUAAAUGUGUUCAUCAUUUCAUUCUGCAUUUUUUCAAGUAUAAAAAACUUAGCAAAGGAAUCUAGCAGAGAUGUGCUAGUGCUGCUCCUAUCUAACACAACAAUAUACUGUUACAUAUAAAAAUGUUCAAAGGUAGUUUAAAAUCCUCUUAAAGUGAGUUAUGAAUAUUUCGCUGAAAAUUAAAAUUAAAUCAAGUAAUGCUAUAUCUUAUUAUUAUUAUUAAAAGUUCAAACUUAUCGAUUCUUCGUCAAUAAAGCUCCAGGCGGGAAGUGAUAGCUAAAGAUGGAAGUAACUCUACGCCCGUUGUGGGAACGAAUAAGGUGGGCUUUCUUAAAACACGUAUAUAGAGAUGCCCUGCAUACAGGCCUCUUAUACGAAAUGAAAUGAAUGACAUGAUAUGACUGUAUUAUUUCAAAUGGUGAAUGGUUCUUAUGAAAUGAAAUGUUUAUGGAAAUGAUUAAAUGAUGAAUGGUUUUUAUGAAAGGAAAGGAAAUAUUUAUGAAAUGAUUGUCUGCUAAAAAUGUUUAUGUUUUAUGUAUGUAUCCUAUCUGUGUUGGUUCGCCAACUAUAAAGGAAAUCGAAUUCGGACCCUACGCUAGACGAAGGUUUGCUAGUAAGGGUUAAUGUGUACACUCAUGGAGACUGUGUGUCGCUUGCGACCGGUCUUGGCGUCCGUGGAAGGAGGCCUCCUUCCCGGCGCGUGAAAGAAACAGAUAUGGAUCAUAUAGACUGAAAAUGGGAUGGCCAUCCAACUUUAUGAAACGAAAGAAAAUGUUUAGUAAGCAUGGGUCCUUCAAGUAAAACCCUGUGUGUUACUUGGCAGUACAAUAAAUGAUAUAAAAUGUUAUGUUUCCGGCAUAUGUUCACUGAGUAUUUUUACUCAACCCUGCAUGUUGUUUU
rnacentral:lncRNA from 1 species